rnacentral:rRNA from 1 species
GACGAACGCUGGCGGCGUGCCUAAUACAUGCAAGUAGAACGCUGAAGCGAGGAGCUUGCUCUUCUUGGAUGAGUUGCGAACGGGUGAGUAACGCGUAGGUAACCUGCCUUGUAGCGGGGGAUAACUAUUGGAAACGAUAGCUAAUACCGCAUAACAAUGGAUGACACAUGUCAUUUAUUUGAAAGGGGCAAUUGCUCCACUACAAGAUGGACCUGCGUUGUAUUAGCUAGUAGGUGAGGUAAUGGCUCACCUAGGCGACGAUACAUAGCCGACCUGAGAGGGUGAUCGGCCACACUGGGACUGAGACACGGCCCAGACUCCUACGGGAGGCAGCAGUAGGGAAUCUUCGGCAAUGGGGGCAACCCUGACCGAGAAACGCCGCGUGAGUGAAGAAGGUUGUCGGAUCGUAAAGCUCUGUUGUAAGUCAAGAACGGGUGUGAGAGUGGAAAGUUCACACUGUGACGGUAGCUUAACAGAAAGGGACGGCUAACUACGUG